UACGAAGGGGGCUAGCGUUGCUCGGAAUCACUGGGCGUAAAGGGUGCGUAGGCGGGUCUUUCAAGUCAGGGGUGAAAUCCCAAGGCUCAACCUUGGAACUGCCUUUGAUACUGGGGAUCUCGAGUCCGGAAGAGGUGAGUGGAACUGCGAGUGUAGAGGUGAAAUUCGUAGAUAUUCGCAAGAACACCAGUGGCGAAGGCGGCUCACUGGUCCGGUACUGACGCUGAGGUGCGAAAGCGUGGGGAGCAAACAGG
rnacentral:rRNA from 1 species